UACGUAGGUGACAAGUGUUGUCCGGAUUUACUGGGCGUAAAGAGCGCGCAGGCGGUCGUUCAAGUCGAGUGUGAAAGCCCCCGGCUCAACUGGGGAGGGUCACUCGAUACUGAUCGACUCGAAGGCAGGAGAGGGAAGUGGAAUUCCCGGUGUAGUGGUGAAAUUCGUAGAUAUCGGGAGGAACACCAGUGGCGAAGGCGGCGAUCUGGGAAGAUACUGACGCUGAGGUGCGAAAGCGUGGGGAGCAAACAGG
rnacentral:rRNA from 1 species